rnacentral:lncRNA from 13 species
CUAGAACCUGUUUCUUCCUUGGUGAAAUGGGGACAGCUCUUGUGAGGUCACAGUGAACAAAGGCAAGCAAAAUGGCUUUGCGCUGCACCCAGAGGACACGCCUUGAUUGGCAGCACAUUGUUGAUUGACACAUACACUGUUGAGGUGGCACACACAACCACACAGUCUGCACCUCUCAUUUCUAAACACACAUGAACUCAGCAAGGACCUGGUGCCAGCCAACCUGGACCUAGGCACACAGUGAAGAGGAUCCUGGGGCCAGAGGGCGACACGAAGACAAGACACUCUGCGCUUCCUCCCUAGCUCAGGGCUGCUAGGAGAGCCUGGUUCCUGGUCACUCUGCCCACUAGAUGGCAAGCUCUGAGGGACUUGUGUGUCAGGGUCUCUGGACCCCCAGCAUCCAGGACUCCGGGAAGAAUUGUGGAAGGACAGUAGGCAGCAGAGAAGGAAGAUUUCCUCUCAUACCAGCGAAAGCCAGAAGGGCCAAAUGGCCCCGUGGAAAGAAUAGGCAUUAUCGACACAACGGAAUGACUUAAAAAGACGAGGCGCCUCCCCAAGGAAGUGAAGAACGUGGCGGCUUUGCAGGAGUCUAUUCACUGGACGCCAGAGUCAACAGGCCGUGAUCCCUGUGGGCCUGAGGGAGGCCCAGACAGCCCCUCCCGCAGCCAACUCCUGGGCCCGUCCGUCUUUGGGUCCUCAGGGUGCCUUCACCUGUUGAUUGUUACCUUGUAGAUUUAAGAACCGAGCUGGGGUGUGCUUGAGGCCACAGUGGCACCCUCUGCCCCUCAACCUGGUGGGGGACACAGGCACGCUCGGCCAGGACUUCUGUCCCAUUUAGGAUUGAGGAGCAAACCCUGGGGAGCUAGCCAAAGGCUGUCAGCUG